CCUACGGGUGGCAGCAGUGGGGAAUAUUGCACAAUGGGGGAAACCCUGAUGCAGCGACGCCGCGUGAGCGAUGAAGUAUUUCGGUAUGUAAAGCUCUAUCAGCAGGGAAGAAGAUGACGGUACCUGACUAAUACGCCCCGGCUCACUACGUGCCAGCAGCCGCGGUACUACGGAGGGGGCAAGCGUUAUCCGGAUUUACUGGGUGUAAAGGGAGCGUAGACGGCGAUGCAAGCCAGGUGUGAAAGCCCGGGGCUCAACCCCGGGACUGCAUUUGGAACUGUGUGGCUGGAGUGUCGGAGAGGCAGGCGGAAUUCCUAGUGUAGCGGUGAAAUGCGUAGAUAUUAGGAGGAACACCAGUGGCGAAGGCGGCCUGCUGGACGAUGACUGACGUUGAGGCUCGAAAGCCAGGGGAGCGAAAGGGAUUAGAUACCCUAGUAGUC
rnacentral:rRNA from 1 species